GAAAUGAUGAAUAACAAAAUAAACAACAUAAGCCCAAAAUCAUAAAGUCGAGAUCCAGCUAAUUUGACGGAGGUAGCUUUAGAGAGUUCAUUAAUUAUGCUCAACUCCUUAAAAGCAACAAUCGCAUUGGAAAACUGCAAAAAAGCCCCUCUUCAUUUCAAUCUUUCAGUCUUUUCAUCUGGAAAAUCGAUUCAUUUCUUCUUCAGCCACUCUUGAAGAUGGGUCUUUUUUAACAUCAGUUUGAAACUUCUACCCAUCAUCGGUUUGUUUCCACCUAUUCCGCCGCAUAUGGAGGAACCCUAUUCGAUUCUUUGUGGGUAAAUCGAAAGACAAAUGAACAGAACCUAGCACAUAAACGCUUUGAAUCUUCAAUAUAUGCUUCAAUCUCAGAUCUAUUUUCCUCCUCUGUUAGCAGUUUCCUUAUCACCGAUUGUGCAUCUCCUUCAAUUUUGACCAUCGACAACCGGAGAUUUAUCCCCAACCGGAUCGCCUGAAGACACGCCAUUGCCUCCGCUGUGAACACUGACGAUAUGUUCUCAUGCACAUCAAAUUUUAUCUUUAACAGUAGUCCUACUUGGUGCUUUGCAUCUUCUCGGGCUCUUUAUCUGAACUACUUCAUUCUGGCAUCUUGGGCAAUUUGUAGAUCCAGCCAAUCUUCUGUAGUGCAGGUUGUUGAAGGUAGGCAAAAAAUUACAUGAAAUUCUCCAACUUGUAAUUUUUACUUUUGAGGGUAGAUCUAAGUUCCAAAGCCGCUUCUAAAACUGUUUGUAAUUUGUCAGCAUAGGAUUAUGUACAUAGUUUAUGACCACUACGAAUUGAGUAUUCCCCGUAGCCUCCCCAGGCUAGAUAAUGUGGUCUUCGUGCGAUUUCAUCAAUAGAGGAAUGCACAAAAUUCUUCCAGCAUUUACCUCUGUAAAGGUAUUUUCAAUCAAAUCAGUUUUCCAUCUUAUUGUUCUUGAAUCAAUAAGAUCUACUACUUUGUUCAAA